ensembl:lncRNA
CUGUACUGCAGCCAGCCACCAGAGGGCGAUCAAAGAGCCCACAGCUGCACUUUUUAGGACGUGUGAGGCACACCCGAUCAGAACAGUUCAAAGCACUCUGGGGAAAGAACACAAGCGAGUGCUGAAGCUCAGGUUGUGAGAAAAGCCGAACUUUAAUUCACACAGCAUCUGAAGUUAAGCCGACAUGAGCGCUGACGUCAUGUUUGCGCUGAGAUUGAAACUAAAACUUUUGAAGAAACCAGAGGCUCACAGGAGACGCUGUGAAGAGGACUGAAACAAACAUGAUGAGCUGCUGCCAUCUGCUGGAAACACACCUUCACUCGCCUGCAACCUUACAAAGUGAAAGGAACUUAAAGCUUCUGUUCAGAGCACGAGUCAGGAACGAUCUUACACAUGCUGCUAUUAUUCAAGAGGGGGCUAAAGUCAUCUGUAAAGAUUCUAGCCUGAAUCCAGUGCAUUUCUGCUGAGAGCCUCAUUGCUUCUGCAUGCUUUUCUUUACCGUCACGCAGUAAUGUCCAGAACACAACAGCAAAAGUUUGAACAUUUAUCACCAAUUGCCUGCAGAGAAUGAGAGCAAUAAUCAGCUCUGCCACUGCACACAGAUGUUUGUACCUCAGUUUCAGGAAGGACUUUAAUGACGAGACUGCAGUGCAAAGAAACCUCAACAGAAGCUGUUUUCUGUUACAGAACACUGUUUCUCUGAAACACGCCUGACAAUGAAUUCAAACGAGCCCACUGGAUGUUUAAGAAGUCAAGGUACAGAAUCACCAAGUAUGUUUGCAUAUACAAGGAAUUUAUUCUGGUGACAGAAGCUUCCAGUACACAGAGACAACAACAAUACACAGAUUUGUUUAGACUUUAAAUAUGCUGUUUGUUAAUAAAGAUAAUAUCUAUUUUAAAAUUAGUUUCGAGUUUUUCGGAGAUGUGAGCUCCAGAGUGUCAGCGGCCGUUCAGCAAUCAUGAACCCACAGAGAGUGCCUCACCUCGGCCAGAUCUGCUGGAAUUUACCACUGGUUCGGGUGUCUCUAUAGUGGUUAAACAUAUAAUUUGUUUAUAUUGAAAGAGACUGAAACAGGGUGUUAAGGAAGUUAUUUUUACUUUUAAUAACAGCUUGUAAGAGGCAGUUAAUCACCCUUAACAGAUGAAAGGAUAGUACGACAAAGAUAUCGCUUUCCUCAGCGGACAUUCAGACUAAUGUUUUAUAUAUGAGAAUGAGCUAAAGAAAUACAGAAUGCUGUAUCAGAUGCAGGUGAUCACACUCUCAGUCAAUCUCUCUCUCAUAAUAUUCUGCUCCACAUAAUACACAGCUUUCAGUGAAGCAACCCAACAUUCCUUCGUUAUUAGUUCUAAAGUGAUGUUUUGUAAUUAGUAAUGGAGGCUUGAGCUCAGCUAUUAAACUGUCAAACUGAGAUUUGAAUCUGUGGUGGAAGUAGUUCUGCACA